UACGGAGGGUGCAAGCGUUAUCCGGAUUCACUGGGUUUAAAGGGAGCGUAGGUGGACUUGUAAGUCAGUGGUGAAAUCUCCGGGCUUAACCCGGAAACUGCCAUUGAUACUGCAGGUCUAGAGUACAGUUGCUGUGGGCGGAAUAUGACAUGUAGUGGUGAAAUACUUAGAUAUGUCAUAGAACACCGAUUG
rnacentral:rRNA from 1 species